UGAUUUGUCUUGAGUCUGGGUAUCCUC
rnacentral:piRNA from 1 species